AGGAAGCAAGCAAGGCCCUCCCGCACCCACUCCCAGGCCGGACCGGACCCACCACACACUCUUCCUUGAGGAGAUGGCAGGCACCCAGGUCUGGGCAGAGCUGCCCUCCUGGUCUCAGUGUCCUGAGAGCUCUUUUCCCCCUCGGACCCCAGAGCAGGGAGACCUGUGCACGGCUCUGCACGGCUCCCCCCGACUCUGUCUCCAAGCCCCUCGGCCAGGUGCACAUGGGGUGGCCGGUCAUCCCGGGGUCCAGACUGCAGAAGUGACCCAGGCUGGCGGGACAGUUCACCCCAGGCCUUGGGACCUCCUGAAGUUAAGGACAGAGGCUGGGCUCCCCUCUGGGAAAACAGAAAAGGAACAGGCGUUCGGGGCAAGCCCAGAGCUGCAGAAUGAAAGCCCGGCCACCAGGGAUUCCCUAGGUCCAGAUGACCUCCCAGUGGACUGA
rnacentral:lncRNA from 1 species